UGUGGAUGACGGUACCGGAAGAAGAAGCACCGGCUAACUACGUGCCAGCAGCCGCGGUAAUACGUAGGGUGCGAGCGUUAAUCGGAAUUACUGGGCGUAAAGCGUGCGCAGGCGGUUUUGUAAGACAGAUGUGAAAAUCCCCGGGCUUAACCUGGGAACUGCAUUUGUGACUGCAAGGCUAGAGUACGGCAGAGGGGGGUAGAAUUCCACGUGUAGCAGUGAAAAUGCGUAGAUAUGUGGAGGAAUACCGAUGGCGAAGGCAGCCCCCUGGGUCGAUACUGACGCUCAUGCACGAAAGCGUGGGGAGCAAACAGGAUUAGAUACCCUGGUAGUCCACGCCCUAAACGAUGUCAACUAGGUGUUGGGGGGGAGACUUCCUUAGUACCGCAGCUAACGCGUGAAGUUGACCGCCUGGGGAGUACGGUCGCAAGAUUAAAACUCAAAGGAAUUGACGG
rnacentral:rRNA from 1 species